GCCGUGGUAGUGCAGUGGUUAGCACGCGACCUCUGGAGAAGGUGAGAUGCGCGUCGAUUCCCGCCUGAGGUU